rnacentral:rRNA from 1 species
CCUACGGGAGGCUGCAGUGGGGAAUAUUGGACAAUGGGCGAAAGCCUGAUCCAGCCAUGCCGCGUGUGUGAAGAAGGCCUUCGGGUUGUAAAGCACUUUCAGUGGGGAAGAAAGCCUUGGGGCUAAUACCCUCGAGGAAGGACAUCACCCACAGAAGAAGCACCGGCUAACUCCGUGCCAGCAGCCGCGGUAAUACGGAGGGUGCGAGCGUUAAUCGGAAUUACUGGGCGUAAAGCGCGCGUAGGCGGUCUGAUAAGCCGGUUGUGAAAGCCCCGGGCUCAACCUGGGAACGGCAUCCAGAACUGUCAGGCUAGAGUGCAGGAGAGGAAGGUAGAAUUCCCGGUGUAGCGGUGAAAUGCGUAGAGAUCGGGAGGAAUACCAGUGGCGAAGGCGGCCUUCUGGACUGACACUGACGCUGAGGUGCGAAGGCGUGGGUAGCAAACAGGAUUAGAUACCCCGGUAGUC